rnacentral:rRNA from 1 species
CUGGCGGCAGGCCUAACACAUGCAAGUCGAGCGCUACCUUCGGGUGGAGCGGCGGACGGGUUAGUAACGCGUGGGAAUAUACCCAGUUCUAAGGAAUAGCCACUGGAAACGGUGAGUAAUACCUUAUACGCCCUUCGGGGGAAAGAUUUAUCGGAAUUGGAUUAGCCCGCGUUAGAUUAGAUAGUUGGUGGGGUAAUGGCCUACCAAGUCUACGAUCUUUAGCUGGUUUUAGAGGAUGAUCAGCAACACUGGGACUGAGACACGGCCCAGACUCCUACGGGAGGCAGCAGUGGGGAAUCUUAGACAAUGGGCGCAAGCCUGAUCUAGCCAUGCCGCGUGAGUGAAGAAGGCCUUAGGGUCGUAAAACUCUUUCGCCAGAGAUGAUAAUGACAGUAUCUGGUAAAGAAACCCCGGCUAACUCCGUGCCAGCAGCCGCGGUAAUACGGAGGGGGUUAGCGUUGUUCGGAAUUACUGGGCGUAAAGCGCACGUAGGCGGACUGGAAAGUUGGGGGUGAAAUCCCGGGGCUCAACCUCGGAACUGCCUCCAAAACUAUCAGUCUAGAGUUCGAGAGAGGUGAGUGGAAUUCCAAGUGUAGAGGUGAAAUUCGUAGAUAUUUGGAGGAACACCAGUGGCGAAGGCGGCUCACUGGCUCGAUACUGACGCUGAGGUGCGAAAGUGUGGGGGGCAAACAGGAUUAGAUACCCUGGUAGUCCACACCGUAAACGAUGAAUGCCAGUCGUCGGCAAGUAUACUUGUCGGUGACACACCUAACGGAUUAAGCAUUC